rnacentral:rRNA from 1 species
UACCAAAGGCCGGGCAACCGGUCACUGAAGGAUGGGCCUGCGUCUGAUUAGCUAGUUGGUGGGGUAACGGCCCACCAAGGCGACGAUCAGUAGCCGGUCUGAGAGGAUGAACGGCCACAUUGGGACUGAGACACGGCCCAAACUCCUACGGGAGGCAGCAGUGGGGAAUCUUCCGCAAUGGGCGCAAGCCUGACGGAGCAACGCCGCGUGAGUGAAGAAGGUUUUCGGAUCGUAAAGCUCUGUUGAGAGGGACGAGAGGCAAGGCUAGGAAAUGAGCUUUGUAGGACGGUACCUUUCGAGGAAGCCACGGCUAACUACGUGCCAGCAGCCGCGGUAAUACGUAGGUGGCGAGCGUUGUCCGGAAUUAUUGGGCGUAAAGGGAGCGCAGGUGGGAAAGUAAGUCAGUCUUAAAAGUGCGGGGCUCGACCCCGUGAGGGGAUUGAAACUACUUUUCUUGAGUGCAGGAGAGGAAAGCGGAAUUCCUAGUGUAGCGGUGAAAUGCGUAGAUAUUAGGAGGAACACCAGUGGCGAAGGCGGCUUUCUGGACUGUAACUGACACUGAGGCUCGAAAGCCAGGGGAGCGAACGGGAUUAGAUACCCCGGUAGUCCUGGCCGUAAACGAUGGAUACUAGGUGUAGGAGGUAUCGACCCC